UGACGGCGUGGCCCAAUGGAUAAGGCGUCGGUCUACGGAACCGAAGAUUGCGGGUUCGAUUCCCGUCGCCGUUGA
rnacentral:tRNA from 1 species